GCAUGCUACUGCCAGUAAACACAGCACAGUAGUAAUCGGCUUCAUCUUCAGCUUGGACCCUGGUGAUGGUCAAGGCAGCCUUCUGACCGGAAAUGGAUCCCAAGAACCGGGUGGGGAUCCCAGAGGGUCUGUGAAAGUAACCUCUUCCAGGAAAGCCACAGCAUGAAUGCUCCUUGCUCAUCUGAGAUAUAUGUGAGCAGUGCAAGAAGAAGCGGGGCCCAGGCCAUGGUGGGAAUCCAGACCAGCUCAGCUUCUUCAGGCAAACAGGCCUGGCUGGGACCCUCCAAGUCUCUCUUAAAUACCCACAGCUGGAGAACAGCUCCUUUAUGCAAACAGACUUCCUGUUCGGUGGAUGCAGAGCAUGCCCUAGAGAAGGUAUCAAGCAAACACAUUGGCGUAUCUGCCUCUGGCUGCCCAGCCUCUGCAAUUCAUAACACCUGGUGUAA